CCAGUGACAAUGCAUUUGUGUGCUUUUGUUCUGCUGAGCUCGGCUUUGGCUCUUCAUCAUGCUUUACCUGUGGCCACAUUUGAGGAAACUGAAUUUUAUUACAAAUGGAGGAGCAUUCCGGAUAUAAACGAAG